rnacentral:rRNA from 1 species
GAUGAACGCUGGCGGCGUGCCUAAUACAUGCAAGUCGAGCGAACGGACGAGAAGCUUGCUUUUCUGAUGUUAGCGGCGGACGGGUGAGUAACAUGUGUAUAACCUACCUAUAAGACUGGGAUAACUUCGGGAAACCGGAGCUAAUACCGGAUAAUAUUUUGAACCGCAUGGUUCAUAAGUGAGAUACGGUCUUGCUGUCACUUAUAGAUGGAUCCGCGCUGUAUUAGCUAGUUGGUAAGGUAACGGCUUACCACGGCGACGAUGCAUAGCCGACCUGAGAGAGUGAUCGGCCGCACUGGAGGUGAGACACGGUCCAGACUCCUACGGGAGGCAGCAGUAGGGAAUCGUAGGCAAUGGGGGAAAGCCUGACGGAACAACGCGGCGUGAGUGAUGAAGGUCUUCGGAUCGUAAAACUCUGUUAUGAGGGAAGAACAUAUGUGGAAGUAGCUGUGCAGAUCUUGACGGUACCUGGUCAGAAAGCCACGGCUAACUACGUG